AGCGAACGCUGGCGGCAGGCCUAACACAUGCAAGUCGAACGAACUCUUCGGAGUUAGUGGCGGACGGGUGAGUAACACGUGUGAACGUGCCUUUUGGUUCGGAAUAACUCAGGGAAACUUGUGCUAAUACCGAAUGUGCCCUUCGGGGGAAAGAUUUAUCGCCAUUAGAGCGGCCCGCGUCUGAUUAGCUAGUUGGUGAGGUAACGGCUCACCAAGGCGACGAUCAGUAGCUGGUCUGAGAGGAUGACCAGCCACACUGGGACUGAGACACGGCCCAGACUCCUACGGGAGGCAGCAGUGGGGAAUCUUGCGCAAUGGGCGAAAGCCUGACGCAGCCAUGCCGCGUGAAUGAUGAAGGUCUUAGGAUUGUAAAAUUCUUUCACCGGGGACGAUAAUGACGGUACCCGGAGAAGAAGCCCCGGCUAACUUCGUG
rnacentral:rRNA from 1 species